AACGUACGCUGGCGGCACGCCUAACACAUGCAAGUCGAACGAAGUAGCAAUACUUAGUGGCAGACGGGUGAGUAACAUGUAGGUAUCUGCCCUUUGGCCUGGAAUAACACGAGGAAACUUGUGCUAAUACCGGAUAAGUCUUUACGGAGAAAGCUUUAUGCACCAUUGGAUGAGCCUGCACUUGAUUAGUUUGUUGGUGGGGUAAUGGCCUACCAAGACUGUGAUCAAUAGCUGAUUUGAGAGGAUGAUCAGCCACAUUGGGACUGAGACACGGCCCAAACUCCUACGGGAGGCAGCAGUGGGGAAUCUUGCACAAUGGAGGAAACUCUGAUGCAGCGAUGCCGCGUGAGUGAAGAAGGCCCUUGGGUUGUAAAGCUCUUUCGUCGGGGAAGAAAAUGACUGUACCCGAAUAAGAAGGUCCGGCUAACUUCGUGCCAGCAGCCGCGGUAAUACGAAGGGACCUAGCGUAGUUCGGAAUUACUGGGCUUAAAGAGUUCGUAGGUGGUUGAAAAAGUUAGUGGUGAAAUCCCAGAGCUUAACUCUGGAACUGCCAUUAAAACUUUUCAGCUAGAGUAUGAUAGAGGAAAGCAGAAUUUCUAGUGUAGAGGUGAAAUUCGUAGAUAUUAGAAAGAAUACCAAUUGCGAAGGCAGCUUUCUGGAUCAUUACUGACACUGAGGAACGAAAGCAUGGGUAGCGAAGAGGAUUAGAUACCCUCGUAGUCCAUGCCGUAAACGAUGUGUGUUAGACGUUGGAAAUUUAUUUUCAGUGUCGCAGGGAAACCGAUAAACACACCGCCUGGGGAGUACGACCGCAAGGUUAAAACUCAAAUGAAUUGACGGGGACCCGCACAAGUAGUGGAGCAUGUGGUUUAAUUCGAAGAUACGCGCAGAACCUUACCAACACUUGACAUGUUCGUCGCGACUCUAAGAGAUUAGAGUUUUCGGUUCGGCCGGACGAAACACAGGUGCUGCAUGGCUGUCGUCAGCUCGUGUCGUGAGAUGUUGGGUUAAGUCCCGCAACGAGCGCAACCCUCACUUUUAGUUGCCAUCAUUAAGUUGGGCACUCUGAAAGGACUGCCAGUGAUAAGCUGGAGGAAGGUGGGGAUGACGUCAAGUCCUCAUGGCCCUUACGUGUUGGGCUACACACGUGCUACAAUGGUAUCUACAACAGGAAGCAAGACUGCGAAGUUAAGCAAAUCCCUAAAAGAUACCUCAGUUCGGAUUGCACUCUGCAACUCGAGUGCAUGAAGCUGGAAUUACUAGUAAUCGUGGAUCAGCGUGCCACGGUGAAUGCGUUCCCGGGUCU
rnacentral:rRNA from 1 species